AGGUCUAACCUGCCCAAUGAGGAAUUAAAUGGCCGCAGUAUUUUGACUGUGCAAAGGUAGCAUAAUUAUUAGUUUUUUAAUUGAAAGCUUGUAUGAAGGGUUGGACGAGAUAAAAUCUGUCUUUAUUUAAAUUACAAUAGAAUUUAACUUUUAAGUCAAAAGGCUUAAAUGUAUAUAAAAGACGAGAAGACCCUAUAGAUCUUUAUUUAAUUAAUAUUUUGAUAAUUUAAGAUUAUUUUAGUUUAAAGUUUUAAUUAAAUUUUAUUGGGGUAAUAUAGAGAUUAAAUAAAUUCUUUUUAUUUAUUACAUUGCUUUAUGAAUAUAUGAUCCAAUAUUAUUGAUUAUAAGAUUAAGUUACCUUAGGGAUAACAGCGUAAUUUUUUUGGAGAGCUCAUAUCGAUAAAAAAGUUUGCGACCUCGAUGUUGGAUUAAAAAUUAGCUUGGGUGCAGAAGCUCAAGAUUUUGGUCUGUUCGACCAUUAAAUUUUUACAUGAUCUGAGUUCAGACCGGCGUAAGCCAGGUCGGUUUCUAUCUUUAUUUAUCUAAAAUAUUUUAGUACGAAAGGACCAAAUAUUUAAUAUAAUUAUAUUUCUUUUUUGAAUAAUAUU
rnacentral:rRNA from 1 species